rnacentral:tRNA from 1 species
GGGGAGGUAGCUCAGUUGGUAGAGCAGCGGAUUCCAAACUCGCAGGCCGCAGGUUCGAGCCCUGUCCACCCCG